rnacentral:lncRNA from 1 species
UCUAACAGCUGUCGUUGCUCCUCGCAACCCUGCGUCCGUCAGCGCCAACUGCUACUGCCAACAGUUCUGGAAGCAGGUAUUAUUAAUUAAAUACAUAUAAUAUGAUUAUGAAUAUCCUUGUUUGUUAUAUAUAUCCUGCGAUUUUUAGUAUGCUUGAUUGUAACUUGCUGUGGGCUUAUAUAUCAUUGGGAGGAUAAGGUUGUUUCCGCUAAGAAGUUCUAGCAUCCACGAUUUUAGUCAAAACAAACUAGUCUUUCUAUUAGCAUUAUGUAUUUAUUUAUUUAUUUAUUUAUUUAUUGCAAAGCAGUACAAUCAGCUCGUUGAACACACAUGCAUAUACAACCUGCCCCUUUGAGAGCAUGCAUCAUUUGUGGUCAGUGGUGACAUAUGUGCGCGUUAGUCCUUGCAUUAUUACACACGCAUACCGUACAGGCGGCUGAAAAUCCAUUUCUAUUGGCGUUUUUCAGCACCGCCUACGCUGGAGGCCAGUAGAAAUGGGACAUUUCUAUAGGCGGUAACUAAGAACCGCCUGUGGAAAUGCAUUUCUACAGGCGGUUCAGUUAUGCCAACCGCCUGUACAAAUCUUUUUCCAGAAAAUAGGAAAUCGGUUUUUAAAAAUAGGAAAAAAAGAUUUUAAUAUAGUUGGGCUUUUUUUCGCAUAAAAUCGUGUGCUUCGUGGCCGGUGGGAUUCGAACAUGAGACCUUGCCCUUGCGCGUAGCUUCCUCUACCACUCCACCUAUCACUCACUUGUGUCUAUAUUAGAGUUUAGUUCCCCACAUAUUAUCACAAACCGAGCAUAUAUUGAUUAUUUGAGGCCCUAAACGGAUUCCCAUAGAAAAGUUGUCAACUACAAAGUUUCAUAACUUUUUAAGAUCUACAACUUUUAUAUUAAAAGUUUUUCCAUCCGAGGUCAUUUACAAAAUUUGAAUUUCAAAUUUAAGAAAUUCAAACGUAGUUUUCGACGACAAGAUGAUGUCAAAUGAAAAAAUUAUCAACUACAAAGUUUCAUAACUUUUCGAGAUCUACAAUUUUCAUUUUGACAGUUUUUUCAAACAAGGUCAUUUGAAAAACUCAAAAAAUUAAAUUUCAAAUUAUUUCUACAUGCGGCUUUCUUAACAAACCGCCCGUAGAAAUAUGAUUUUUACAGACGGUUUCUUAGGAGAACCGCCUGUAGAAAUACAUGAUUUCUAUAGGCGGUUUUGUUAAGAAGACCGCCUAUAGAAAUAUGAUUUUUAGUGGCGGUUCAGUUAGAAAAAAUGUAGUUCUGACACCGCCCUUUUUACACCACAGACGCGUGAUAACUACAACCGCCUGUAGUAUAAAAAAGGAGCGUCAGCGUUGUACUCUUUUCUACUAGUGUUGUGGAAUAACGGGUAAAGGUAGUACAAUGUCUUGUGCAUGUUAAUUAGAAUCUGAUUACCUACACAGCAUAGCGGCAGAAGUGGAAAAGGUAGAGAAAGGAUUCUCGUCGACCCGAUUAUGCCAAGCUGAAGCAACUCCUAUCAUAUUUGGUAUCUGACAACAAGCACCUAGUCAUCGCAUAGGUUCAACUAGUUUGCUAUAAUAAGCUCAUCUUCAGGUUUUGCAUUUUGAGGUUGCACCGUCAAUUCAUCGUAACUUGCACUGAAAAAUGACAUUUCUCUCCAAUGGCUCUGAGAAGCUGGUAAACUUGCUUCGUUACAGACAUUAAGUAUCUUUCUUUGUUCUUUUCCCUUUUUGCUUUUCAUUUGCUUUUACUUUUUCCUUCCAUUGCUUUUCUAUUUUGCAUAUAAAGAGACUGCUGAGACUGCGAGGGACAAUUUUUGAUUGCAAUAAAGAGGCUGCUGCUUUUGUAUUUUCACUUUUGCUUUUCCUUUUUUUGUUUGUACAGUCUAGCAACAUCACUUGUACUGAGACAAACAUGUUGGGUUGAUCUCUAUCUCUGACCCAGCCCAACGGCUGGAGCCAGUCCCCCUUUUGACCGCGUCUUGAUCGGGGGCGCUCAACCACCCAUUGGAGUGGUGGCCCCUUGGCGCACUGCACUAUAGUAUAAGUAUAGGAGUGGGGGCUGCAAGCACAGUGAGAGGAGGAAGAGGUUCGCCACAGCAUGCUGCUUGCCCCACUCAACUCUAACCCUAGUGCCAUCCGAUCGGCCAGUGCAGCAGCGUCGGAAAGCGCCACCACUGCCUCAACACCGACGCCAUGGACGCCUCGAUGGUCUAAUCCUAAUCCCCUAAACCUCUCUGUUUCUCUCCAUGUGUAGUAGAUCUUGUGCAUACAAGUGCAGUUAUACUGCCUAUGUUUAUUUGCUAUAUUUGUUGUACUCGAAUCCCGAUCUAUUCUACUGCUGAAUGAUCCUAAAUUUCUAUCAAUGGUAUCGGAGCCAAUCUAGCAUGUAGAUAGGAUUUCGGAUUCACCCGAAAGUCAAUCACAAGAAAAGCAAAAGAAAAAUGAGAUUUUUACCAAAUCCCUAACCCUAGCGCAAGAAGACCGAGAUCGGGGAGGGGAAUAGAAAACCCUAACCCUAAAGCAAAGGGGAAAGGGCGACCCUACCUAGGGCCGGUCCAUCCCGGCCUCGCCGCCGACCGUCACCAUGGCCGGCGGGGCGGACAGACGAGCCAAGACACAACGUGGGCGUGCGAGCUCAGGGCACCGACGCGCAUCCCCUCGACGGAGGCGCGCUCACUCACCAAGAGGAGCGCACGCUCCGGCGAGAGGGCCCGCGGCGGCGCCGCUUCUUUUUCUCCGGCUGCCGAGUGCAGGGCUGGCUGCUGCGGCGGCUCUGCUGCGGUCGGCCGCGGCGUGGGCUGGAGAGGAAGACGCGAGCGAGAAGAAUCAGGAGAUACGCUCGCUGGCGGCAGCUCUGCUGCUGUGAGGUGCAGCUCGCCGGCGGCAGCUCUGCUGCCGUGCGGUGCACAGGAGAGGGCAAAGGCAGAGAGAAGAGAGAGAAGGCGACGGCGCGAAUGGGGGCUAGGGUUAGGGUUCUGGCCGGCGCUGGCGGCUUUAUACGUCCGAUCCGCGCGCGCCACCGUCGGAUCGCCACGGCCGCAGAUCGGACGGCGCACGGCAGCCGGACCGAAAUGAGCCCAAGCGGGAGGUGGUUUUGGGCCUCUUUGCCCCAGCCGGCCCAGGUUGCGGCCCGCCAAGAGCCUGCGCCACCGCGUGCCGUCGGGCUGGGCUGAAAACAGACAUCUGGGCCGCGAGACGCCAGCCCGAGAAAAAAAAAUGCCGAGCCGGGCUGGGCGCUGCGUUGCGCGCUGCUGAGCCGAAAGUCGGGCUGGGCCGAAAGUGGCCGUGGGCCGCUUCGUUCGCCCUGGCCCAACCAGCACAGUAACCUUCUUCAUUUUAUUUCAUUUUCAGAAGCUUUUGAAUAAUUGUUUUGCUCAGUUUUAAACUCUAUUUAAUUGCACCAACGUGUUUAUUAUUUAGAGAGUAAAGUCAGCAAGUUAUGCUUCUGAAAAUAGCAAGUAAAUUAAUGUUUCCGCUGCGCAAGUUGUUGUUUUAAUUCUCAUAUUAAAUUGAACCAACGGGAUAUUUAAUUUGAGAAGCCGAGUUUUCAAGCACAGAAUUCCUUUUUUUUGUAAUAUUGUUAUUUUUUAACCAAUGUUAAUGAUACCAAUAUUGCAAAUUCCAAGUUAUAGAAAGAUUACGCUUCCAGCAAGUUAAUUUAUGUUUUCCGCUGCGCAAGAUAUUUUAAUUCUCUUAUUUAAUUCGAGAAGCAAGUUUUAAAGCCUAGAAAUUUUUGUAAUAUUGUUAUUUCUUGACCAACGUUAAAAAUAGCAAUACUGCAAAUACCAAGUUCCAAUUUUAAGCAUUUAUUCUAUUUUGCCCAACGGUGAUUAGAUUUAAUGCAGCGAGUUAAUUUUUGUAUAUCUUGAUUUUGACCAACGUUAAAUUAAGAUAUUCAAUUAUUCUACCAAGUUUUAAAUGUUGGUGUGCUCACCAUCUUCUCAUCCUUAUUUCAGAGCAAGCGAUGCACUUCAUUAGUGCAAUCCCACAGCAAGAGAAUACCUCGAGAAAGUGUAGAAUCAGUUCAAUGCCUAGACAAAGGGAUUUACAUGAUGUAUUUUACGUUCCCUCUUAGCAAAGAUGAUUGUAAGCUACAGAUAAAUAAUAAAUGUGUGG